AAAGUACUUCAAGUAAAUAUGGUUAGUACAGUUUACUGAGAUGCGACAGAGAUUGAGAUGAUUUUUAGCAAAUGAGUUGAUACCUGAAGCAUGGUGUUGAAUUUGUUACGCAGAUCACAAAAUUCAUUCCAGAUAGACUACUGCCGUCAGGCAUCUGACAAAGGAAAAAGAAAAUUAAUCCAGUAACAUGUGAGGCCACAAUGGAGCACACUAGCCUUCACAUUGAGUAUGAAGAUCUAAAUAUGACUGGUAGAGAAUGGCAAUUCUAUGACAUAACGGUAAAUAUACUAACCCCUGUUUGUUCUUUUCCUUACAGAACUCACAUAACUGAAUGCUAGCAUUCGCCACUCUCUUAGCACCAAUGCUGUAAAAUAAAAAAAAAAUUGUACAGUUAGGAUGUCCCACCUUAUGAAUCAGAUAAUAUUAUACUCCCUGUCUCAUAUUAAGUGCCGCAAGUUGGUCUAAAUAAUAAAUACGCGUGUAUUUACACACUAAGACAAGUCUAGAUACAUGUGUAUCUAUAUGAAGUUGCGACACAACCUAUGCAAAAUUUAUUCGAAGAUCGAAAAAAAAGGAACAAAUUCAAUGGAACAAUAUUAUUUGAGCUUCCCACGGGGGUUAUGUUGGUGAUCAAGAAUGAGGUGGCGCUGUGGCACCUGAUCGACGGCAAGGGCAUUGGUGAUUUGC
rnacentral:lncRNA from 1 species